rnacentral:rRNA from 1 species
UAAAUGAAUCAAAACUUUCAACAACGGAUCUCUUGGUUCUGGCAUCGAUGAAGAACGCAGCGAAAUGCGAUAAGUAAUGUGAAUUGCAGAAUUCAGUGAAUCAUCGAAUCUUUGAACGCACAUUGCGCCCUCUGGUAUUCCAGAGGGCAUGCCUGUUCG